rnacentral:rRNA from 1 species
CACGUAGGGGGCGAGCGUUGUCCGGAAUCAUUGGGCGUAAAGAGCUCGUAGGCGGCUCAGUAAGUCGGGUGUGAAACCCCCAGGCUCAACCUGGGGACGCCACUCGAUACUGCUGUGGCUAGAGUCCAGUAGAGGAGUGUGGAAUUCCCGGUGUAGCGGUGAAAUGCGCAGAUAUCGGGAGGAACACCAACGGCGAAGGCAGCACUCUGGGCUGGAACUGACGCUGAGGAGCGAAAGCGUGGGUAGCAAACAGGA